CGCUGGCGGCGUGCUUAACACAUGCAAGUCGAACGGUAAGGCCCUUCGGGGUACACGAGUGGCGAACGGGUGAGUAACACGUGGGUGAUCUGCCCUGCACUUCGGGAUAAGCCUGGGAAACUGGGUCUAAUACCGGAUAGGACCAUGGACUUCACGGUUUGUGGUGGAAAGCUUUUGCGGUGUGGGAUGGGCCCGCGGCCUAUCAGCUUGGUUGGUGGGGUAAUGGCCUACCAAGGCGACGACGGGUAGCCGGCCUGAGAGGGUGUCCGGCCACACUGGGACUGAGAUACGGCCCAGACUCCUACGGGAGGCAGCAGUGGGGAAUAUUGCACAAUGGGCGCAAGCCUGAUGCAGCGACGCCGCGUGAGGGAUGACGGCCUUCGGGUUGUAAACCUCUUUCAAUAGGGACGAAGCGCAAGUGACGGUACCUAUAGAAGAAGCACCGGCCAACUACGUG
rnacentral:rRNA from 1 species